rnacentral:snoRNA from 1 species
UGAUGACAAAUCUCCGGAAUCUCUGUAUUUCUUUGAUGAAAUGUUUGAACCCCUUUUCUGAUGACUGCUUCAAAAUCC